GACAGAGGAUGCAAGCGUUAUCCGGAAUGAUUGGGCGUAAAGCGUCUGUAGGUGGCUUUUCAAGUCCGCCGUCAAAUCCCAGGGCUCAACCCCUGGACAGGCGGUGGAAACUACCAAGCUGGAGUACGGUAGGGGGCAGAGGGAAUUUCCGGUGUAGCAGUGAAAUGCGUAGAGAUCAUGAGGAAGACCAGUGGCGAAGGCGGGUCUCUGGACAGUUCCUGACACUGAGGCACGAAGGCCAGGGGGAGCAAACGGG
rnacentral:rRNA from 1 species